GAUGGUUAGCAAGAACAAGGAAGCCAUUUGCAAUGGCAGAAUUGGAAGCAAGGAAAGUUGAAUAUUCAAAUACUGGCACACAAACCUUUGCUAAUGGGGAUUAUAAUUGAGGAAUUCUCUUGGAAGACUUAUUUUUAUUAAGGAUUUUGACUUUGAAGCAUAUGUUCGUGUCAGCUCCUGUCAAGUGAUGACUGAUGACUAUUGUGAUUGUGAGUAAGUAGGCUUCUGGGCCACUGGCUACAUGCUUCUUGAAUGUUUUAUGCUUAAUUGCUAAAAAUAUACUGUUAGAAAAAUAACGUCACAUAAUAUUAGAAAAUACAAAACCUUAUAUCUAGGAGAGAAUUUGUGCCCAAUGAAUUUCUUGUCUUCUUAAAACAAAUGCUCUAGAGGGUGCUUGAGUUUUGAGAGUAAUUUUCUCUCAUGAUAGAACAAGUUAUCUUUCUUGUGAGAGGAACACCUUGUAGUGUUCACUAAAUCUAACGAACCUAGAUUCAUUCAACAAAUGUUCACUGAGCCAUAAAGAGGUACACCUUAAAACAAAUGUUCUCUAAAUCUAACGAACCCAAGUUUGUGGAACAAAGCAAACUUUGAUAAAUUUAUAAUAGGAAGAAAGGUUUAUGGGAGAAAAAUGCUUAUGAAAAAGGUUAAAAACCAAUUUGAAGAAAGAACAUAGUUAUAGAUUCAUGACCAUUUGGAUAGUCUAUUCCUUAAGUUGGUUAAAAUUUGAAAUGGCAUCUAUUCGUAAAAGAACGUGCUACCCAUGGAGUUAAAAGGAUGCAACCCUAUACAAAUGGUCAUGUACAAUUUAUUCCAUUUGUAUACAAUGUACAUGGUGAAGUGGACCAACAAUUUCAACCUUGGUAAAAGAAAAGGAUUUAUGUGAAGCUUAAGACAAACUGAAAGGUAAAAGAUUCUUCUCCUACCCUCUCUCAACCACUAAUAAAGAUCCUAGUUGAAUUUGAAUUUGCGAGCUAGCUCAUGUUGAGCAACAAUAGAACGACUGUGAAGAAAUAAACUAUACAAGAGAAAAUGGUAAGUAUACAAUUCUUUAAGCUUCCCUUCUUUUCUAUGUUUAUGUUCAAAUCUUGUCUUCAUCUUCUUUAGUUUUUUGUUUGUUGAUUCAAAUAUUUGGGAAAUGCGAUUUUGGUUUUGAAACUGAUGGAGAUGAAAUUAAGGAACCAAAUGAUGAGCGUUUUCCAAAGAAGACGCAACCAUGAUGUGAACCGAACAGCUUUUAGCUACUGGGGAUUUAUUUUGGUUGAGGAUGGUUCUUUCUUUUAUUAUUAUUAUUAUUAUUUUUGUGGGUUUUGAACUCUCCCCCCUCUGAAUAGAUACACCUACUUGACUUGGCCAAAAUUGGUAAUUCUGAUGGUUCCUUAGUUCAUCAUUCCUCUAUGAAAUUUUAGUUUUGGUUUUUGAGUUUAGAAGUUUUCGUUCUCUUAGGACUUCCAAAUCUAUCUUCAUACUUGAUUUUGAUUGACAUGGUUUGGAUGAAGUAAAAUAAUUUUCAAUAGUUUCUGGAUGGUGGGGUGGUUAACAAAGUUUGUUUCAUGUUUUCUCAAUGUGCAAUUGUGUUAAUUCUGAACUUUGAAUUUGUAGUCAUAACUCAAACCAUAUACAUAUUAAGUGAUGGAUAGUAUAGUUAACAUGGACGUGGACGAGACUUUUGUUCGAGAUUUGGAGUACAGAAACACGAACGUGUUUUGGCUAUAAGAGUGACAGAAAAGUUGAGGUACAAGCAUUGGACAUCAAAUUAUUGAAAUAGAAAAUUGUUUUGAGGAUAGAAUUCAAACAAUGAUGUGAGAAGUGUGUAAACGAAUUAUUACCGGAUUUAUUAAGGGCCAUGGGCAUGUGUCGCUCGUAUUAUAAGUUUUUGUAUUUUAAUAUUAAUCUUGGAGUGUUUGAUUAUAAUACAUAUUAAAUUUAACUUCA